rnacentral:rRNA from 1 species
CGCAACCCCUGCUUUCAGUUACUAACGGGUAAAGCCGAGAACUCUGGAGAGACUGCCCAGGAGAACGGGGAGGAAGGUGGGGAUGACGUCAAGUCAGCAUGGCCUUUAUGCCUGGGGCUACACACGUGCUACAAUGGCCGGUACAAAGGGCUGCAAACCCGUAAGGGGGAGCGAAUCUCAAAAAACCGGCCUCAGUUCAGAUCGAGGUCUGCAACUCGACCUCGUGAAGGCGGAAUCGCUAGUAAUCCCGGAUCAGCACGCCGGGGUGAAUACGUUCCCGGGCCUUGUACACACCGCCCGUCACACCACGAAAGUUUGUUGUACCUGAAGUCGUUGGCGCCAACCGCAAGGGGGCAGACGCCCACGGUAUGACCAAUGAUUGGGGUGAAGUCGUAACAAGGUAAAGGG